GUUUGGACCAUGCUGUAUAAAUCACUAUUAUUAUCCAACAUAAACACAUAUAUGUCCGUUUAGUUGAAAUAUGGGAUAAGUGUUAUGAGAAGGGAGUGGUGGGAAAUUUAGUCUCACCCCACUAGUUGGAGAGGAGUUAUACCUUCUUAUAAGAGAUUCUCUUCCACAUGCACUCCUCCUUCCCCACCAGCCUUGUCACGAUACACCGCGAGUUGUGGGAUUGAGCCGAUCUCAUACCUAUGCAUUUAUUUUUGUCGGUCAAGAAAAUGUGAGGCUUCGGCCAACCCUAGCCACAAAAGAGAACAUAUCACAUCUGGUCCACGCGCAUCACACAUGUUGUUCCUUUUGCUACUGCUACUGCUGGCGACUCCAUCCCGUUCACCGCAUACAUAGUUAACGGCAGAGCAGGCCUCCGAAACCCCACCUCUCGGUAUCCUGUACGGGAGAUAAAC
rnacentral:lncRNA from 1 species